UACAGAGGUCUCAAGCGUUGUUCGGAUUCAUUGGGCGUAAAGGGUGCGUAGGUGGCGCCGUAAGUCAGGUGUGAAAUUUCGGAGCUUACUCCGAAACUGCAUUUGAUACUGCGGUGCUUGAGGACUGGAGAGGAGACUGGAAUUCACGGUGUAGCAGUGAAAUGCGUAGAUAUCGUGAGGAAGACCAGUGGCGAAGGCGGGUCUCUGGA
rnacentral:rRNA from 1 species